UUUUGACACUGGUGUGCAGCGCGACAUAAAAAAACGAGCUGGAACGCCCCUACAGACUAACACCAUUGCAUUGUGGGAACCGAAUUGGUAGUCACGUUUUUGAUCCAGCAUGGCAGGAAAACAGAAAAGCAAAAGGAAGUUGGAGGACCUCAGUGUGGACGAGUUCCUGCUAUCUGGCUUUGACUCGGCAGGUGAGGCUGAUUCUGAGGAUGACACUCCUACACGGAAUGGACAGAAAUCGAAGAAGAAAGCAGGGCAAUCUGCAGCUCAAGACAAGGGUGAUGACAAAAAGAAAGGCAAGGCAUCUCAGCACAAAGACUCACUGUCAAGGCUAAAAAGUAAAGAUCCAGAGUUCUAUAAGUUCUUGCAGAAGAACGACCAGACCCUUCUCAACUUUGACGACACCGACAGCUCCGAGGAUGAGGAAGAGAGGAAGUACCACACGCUGCCCAAACAAUUGGAGGAGGCCAGUUCUGAUGAUGAUGAGGAACAAGGAGAGUCCACCAAGAAAUCCAAGAAGACAGCGGAUGUUAUCAAAGUCACAGAGAAAAUGGUUGACGAGUGGCAAGCCGCAAUCAAGGAUGAGCCUACACCUCGCCUCUUCAGAGAGAUCACACAGGCCUUCAAGGCUGCCGUGGCGACCACCAAAGGAGAAGGGGGAGAUCCGUGUCGAUACAAAGUGGCCGACAGUUCAGUGUUCAACGCCUUGGUCCUGUUCUGUAUCCGAGACGUGUACGUGGCUCUGCAGAGGAUGCUCAACCUAAAGCCAGAUAAAGACCAGAAGAAGCCAGUGCUUCCAUCUUCCAGUCCUAAGUGGCAGAAGAACCAGGUGGACAUCAGGAUGUAUCUCAGUGGAAUCGUUCAGCUCUUGUCCUGUCUCACAGAGGCCACCGUCAUCAGUGCAGUUCUGAGGCACGCCAACCAGCUGGUUCCCUACUACCUGUGUAACCCCAAACAGUGUCGCCACCUGCUCAAGCAACUGAUCAAGCAGUGGAGCACCGGGGAGGAGACGAGCCGCGUGCUGGCUUUCCUGGCCCUCAACAAGAUCUGCCGACACAAGCAAGACACCUUCCUCAACCCCAUCCUCAAGCAAAUGUACAUCUCGUACGUGCAGAACUGCAAGUUCACGUCGCCCACCGUUCUGCCUAUGAUCAACUUCAUGCAGCGGACGCUGACAGAGAUGUACUCGCUGGACACACAGGCCUCCUACCAGCACGGCUUCAUCUACAUCCGCCAGCUGGCCAUCCACCUGAGGAACGCCAUGACCAUGAAGAAGAAGGAGACAUACCAGUCGGUGUAUAACUGGCAGUUUGUCCACUGCCUGUACCUGUGGUGUCGUGUGCUCAGCACCCUGCACCCCAGCGACGUCCUGCAGCCCCUCAUCUACCCACUGUGCCAGGUCAUAGUGGGCACCAUCAAGCUGGUACCCACUUCACGCUACUACCCUUUGAGGAUCCACUGUGUGCGAGCCCUCACCCUCCUCUCUGGCAGCACCCACACCUUUGUGCCCGUUCUGCCCUUCCUACUGGAGACUGCCACCACAUCCGAUGUUUGUACAGACAGACUGGGCCAAGAGCGCUCCACUCACCUGAUCAUCCAUCAGGUGGACUUCAACAAGAAGCCUGGCCGGAUGAGUGUGAAGCCCAUCAAAUUUGAUGUUAUCCUGAAGCUCAGCAACACCAACAUGCAGGAGAAGGCCUACCGGGAUGGGCUGAUAGAGCAGGUGUAUGACCUGAUCCUGGAGUACUUCCACUCUCAGGCCUGCUCCAUUGGCUUCCCAGAGCUGGCCCUGCCCACCAUCAUCCAGCUGAAAGCGUUCCUGAAGGAAUGCAAAGUGGCCAAUUACUGCAAGCAGAUCCGCCAGCUGCUGGAGAAGGUACAGGAGAACAGCGGCCACAUCACAGCCCGGAGACAGAGGGCCGCCUUUGGAGUGGCCGACGCGUCCGCCGUGGCGAAGUGGGAGAAGCAGACUGCGGAGGAGGGGACUCCCCUCACCAGGUAUUACAGCCAGUGGAAGAAGCUAAGGGAGAAGGAGAUCCAGCUGGAGAUCUCUGGGAAGGAGAGGAUGGAAGACUUGGACCUCCCUGAGAUCAAACGCAGGAAAAUUCAGGAGAAGAAGGCUGUGGACAAGAAGGAGUUCAAGGAUCUCUUUGAGUCCGACAGCGACUCCGAUGACGACGGAGGACUCAAAGUCAAAGACAAAAAAGGGAGGCUCUGACGAGGAUGAUGACGAUGAUGCUGAUCUUCUUCAAGAGCUGUCUGACCUGAGCGACGAUGAGGGGGUGGGGGAAGACCGUGAUGGCGCUUCAGAUGAUGAUGGUGGUGGUGAUGAUGAUGAUGAUGAUGAAGAAGAAGAAGAGGGGGCUAAAGCCUCGAAGGCGCCCAAACAGCUGUCUAGCGUGGCUCUGAAAGAGUUGGCAGAGGGAGACGAGGACUUGGUGGAAGACCUGGAGCUCUCCGACCAGGACUGACACACAGUGACGCGCGCACACACACACACACACAACGAUUGGGGGUGGAGAGAAAAGAGUGUUGGCUUGGAGCUCAUCUUUCCGUACAUUCAAUCAUUACUGCUUUCCCUGUGGACUCCUUUCUACUAUAAUUUGUUUCAGUUUGCUCCAUCAAUGUGUACAGUACAAACAUGUUUUUAAUACAAUUGCACAUUACAAACUGACCAUGCAAUUGUACAAAAUAAAAAAGAAUUCCUAGA